AUGAGCUUACACUUUUGUGCUCUUGAUGCUAGUGGCAGAGGAUUUGAUACAGAUCAAAGGCCAGAACUUUCUAAGGGCACAGUGGAGUUUGUUGCUCCUACUGAAUAUAUGGUUUGGCCACCAAUGCUGCCUUCUGACUUCUGGGGGUAUGUUCUACAGUAUCUGCAGUAUGAAGUAGUUGCAAAGACCAUCAAAUCAUGCCUUGAUGAUCUUCUAGGCUUUCCACGAACAAAAAUUGAAUUCUUAACCUUUGGCAGCACAUUACACUUCCACAACUUUAAGUUUUCUUUGAGUCAACCUCAAAUGAUGGUGGUUGCCGAUUUGCACGAUGUGUUCUUGCCAUUGCCUGACGAUCUCUUGGUUCUCUUGACGAAAGAUACUGUGGUCAGGGUGGAUACAGCUGCUGCACCUGUGGUCACAGAUCUUGGUGAAAUGUAUCAUCAAGCAGAUACUGGUGCCAUUGUGUCAGUGUUGGCUAGAAUCGCUGUUGAAAACUCACUGUCUGAUAAGCUAGACAGUGUUCGACAACAAUUACAGUUAAAGCUUGUGAAAAGUCUGAAGGAAUACCGGAAUCUGUAUAUUGUACAACAUCGGAUAGGAGGGAGACUGAUAUAUCCAGAAUCAUUAAGAUACUUGCCAUUAUACAUCCUGGCUCUAUGCAAAUCCCUUGCUCUGUGUGGUGGUUAUGCUGACGUCUCUCUUGAUGAACAUUGUGCCGCUGGUUUCAGUAUGAUGAUACUGCCUGCAAGAAGGCUGCUCAAUUUUAUUUAUCCAUCUCUGUACAGGCUUGAUGAAGUAUUGGCAGUGUUUGCAGAGCCGAAAGUCAUAGAACCAGAUAUGAUUGAUGGGGCCCUGAAGCGGUUGCCAUUAACCUUGCAGUGCCUAGACACUGCUGGUUUAUAUCUUCUUGAUGAUGGCUUCACCUUCCUAGUAUGGUUGGGUAGGAUGCUCCAACCUGAGCUCAUGAACGACAUUCUUGGAGUCAGCCUCUCAAACUUCCCUGAUCUAUCAAAGAUUCAGUUGAGAGAAUGUGACAACAAUCACUCAAGAAACUUCAUGGCAGUACUAAGAGCCCUAAGGGAGAGGGAUUCUUCAUGUUACCAGCUGCCCCGUGUGGUACGGCAAGGCGAGCAGCCAAGAGAAGGUUUCCUACUUCUGUCCAACCUCGUCGAGGAUCAGAUGACAGGAACAAGCAGUUACAUGGACUGGAUACUCCAAAUUCACCGCCAAAUGCGGAGCUCGGGAUGA
rnacentral:rRNA from 1 species